UUGAUAGCCCUGGAGACUGCAGUCCUCUACCCACAGAAUAGGUACAGCAUGAACAGUGGCAGUGCAAGCCUCACUGUAGCUGUUUAGCAUAUGUACCUAAACUCUGACUUGAAAGGACCACCUCUAGGACAAAAGGGAACUUUGGCUUCAUGGCCCCUGUAGAUCCUUGGGCAGU
ensembl:misc_RNA